rnacentral:lncRNA from 1 species
GCUUUCUAUGUCUCAUUACAGUAACAGAUAAAUUUAAUUUACUUACUACUUUCUAAACUGUUAACUUCAUGGUUAUGACCUUUGACGGCUAUGUAAAAUAAAGCAAUAUUUGCCCUUGGACGUUUAGCUACAUGUGUGAAUGUUAUUUUCUUUUUCUUCUUUUUUUUUUUUUGUUAUUUGUCUUUUUAGGACCACAAAUGCAGCAUAUGAAGGUUCCCAGGCUUGGGGUCUAAUCUGAGCUGUAGCCACGGGCCUACGCCAGAGCCACAGCAACACCAGAUCCGAGCCACAUCUACGACCUACAUACACCACAGCUCACAGCAAUGCUGCAUCCUUAAUCCACUGAGCAAGAAUGUUGGUCUUGUUGAAAGUACACACAUGCAGAAGUCUUCUUUGUUUACUCUUAAAAAUAUUCAUUUAUUGAGUAGCUCAGUCUAAUCACUUUUUAUUUACACCCCAUCUAAGCUAUGGAAACUCCCUAAACAUACUCUUACUAUGUGAUCCAGCCAUCACAUUCCCUGAUAUUUACUCGAGGAGUUGAAAAUGUAUCCCCACACAAAAACCUGCAUGAGGAUGUCCAUAGGAGUUUUAUUUAUAACUGCCAAAACUUUGAAGCCAUCAGGAUGUCCUUCCACAGACGUGUAGAUAAAUAAACUGUGGUACAGCCAAACAAUGGAAUGUUGUUCAGCACUAAAAAGAAAUGAGCUAUCAAAUGAUGAAAAGACAUGGAAGGAACUUAAAUAAUUAUUACCAAGUAGAAGAAGCCAACCUGAAAAGGCUCCAUCUUGUAUGAUUCCAACUGGAUGACAUUCUUGGAAAAGAUAAAACUGUAAAGGCACUUUAGGCAUAGAAAGUUUUAUCAAAGUAUUUUUGUUUUAAGAUAUAUAAGAAUACUGUCCCCUGUGCUAUACAGUAGGACCUUGUUAUUUAUAUUAGUUUGCAUCUGCUAAUCCCAACCCCCCAUCACACUUUUAAUAGUUAAUCCUCACAACUACUGUAUAAAGUAGGUACUAAUAUUCUCAUUUUAUAGAUUUGAAUACUGAGACUUAAAGAGGUUAAAUAUUUUUCUCAAGACAUCUAGAAAACCCU